GGCUCUGUCGCUCAAGCUUGUGUCUCUUAAUCUUUCUCUGGUAGGGUUUUAGCAAAGGUAAGAGAGAAGAAGAAGAGAAGGUUAUAUCUUGAUGCUCAAACAAUGCAGCAUCAUUUUAAUUCAUUUCCCUCUCAACAUUCCAGCCAAAUCCAAUCCAACAAUAGUACUGUUCCAGUUCAGGUUUUCCCAACAAAUCCAUCUCUAGCAAAUUUAUGCAACAUGUUGCAAAAUUCUAUGCCAAUUCAACCUCAACUGGGUAUUAUCAAUCCUCAAAUUCCAAUUCCUUUCAACAAUUCCAAUACCAUUAUGCCAAAUAUGCCACCUUUGAUGACUCAACAACCUGGCUUUGUUAAUCAACUGGGUAUACCUCAAAUGGGUUUUGCUCCACAAACCAAUAUGAAUACCAUCCCCAUGUUCAUGAAUCAACUGAACCCAUGUCAACCUCAAGGUCAACCAUUUGCCUUUAAUUUCUCCAAUUUGCCUCAACAGCUCCAUCAUAAUAUGGUGUUCCCCAAUCCAAAAACUAUAAUGCAAAAUCUGAACCCUGUUGUGCCCAUCCAAAUGUCAAAUCCUUCUCAAGCUGUUGGUCCUCAAAAUCCCAGCUCUUUUGCAAAUCCAUUGUUUGUUGUUGGGC
rnacentral:misc_RNA from 1 species